AUAUGGAUGAUGUUGAGAAAGGCAAGAAGAUUUGUAUUCAGAAGUGUGCCCAGUGCCACACUGUGGAAAAGGCAGGCAAGCACAGGACUGGGCCUAAUCUCCAUGGUCUCUUCGGAUGGAAGACAGGUCAAGCCGUUGGAUUAUUUUACACAGAUGCCAUUAAGAACAAAGGCAUCACCUGGGGAGAGGAUACACUGAUGGAGUAUUUGGAGAAUCCCAAGAAGCACAUCUCUGGAACAAAGUGAUCUUUGCCAGCAUUAAGAAGAAGGCAGAAAGAGCAGACUUGAUAGCUUAUCUCAAAAAAGCUACUAAUGAA
rnacentral:lncRNA from 1 species